rnacentral:rRNA from 1 species
GAUCAUGGCUCAGAUUGAACGCUGGCGGCAUGCUUUACACAUGCAAGUCGAACGGCAGCAUGGAGAGCUUGCUCUCUGAUGGCGAGUGGCGGACGGGUGAGUAACGCGUGGGUAACCUGCCUCAUACAGGGGGAUAACAGUUGGAAACGACUGCUAAUACCGCAUAAGCGCACAGGAUUGCAUGAUCCAGUGUGAAAAACUACCGUCGGU